rnacentral:rRNA from 1 species
AGCGAACGCUGGCGGCAGGCUUAACACAUGCAAGUCGAGCGGGCAUCCUUGUGGUGUCAGCGGCAGACGGGUGAGUAACGCGUGGGAACGUGCCCUUCGGUUCGGAAUAACUCAGGGAAACUUGAGCUAAUACCGGAUACGUGCGAGAGCAGAAAGGUUUAUCUGCCGAAGGAUCGGCCCGCAUCUGAUUAGCUAGUUGGUGAGGUUAUGGCUCACCAAGGCGACGAUCAGUAGCUGGUCUGAGAGGAUGAUCAGCCACACUGGGACUGAGACACGGCCCAGACUCCUACGGGAGGCAGCAGUGGGGAAUAUUGGACAAUGGGGGCAACCCUGAUCCAGCCAUGCCGCGUGAGUGAUGACGGCCUUAGGGUUGUAAAGCUCUUUUCUCCGGGACGAUAAUGACGGUACCGGAGGAAUAAGCCCCGGCUAACUUCGUG